GUAGGUGGCAAGCGUUGUCCGGAAUUAUUGGGCGUAAAGCGCGCGCAGGCGGUCCUUUAAGUCUGAUGUGAAAGCCCACGGCUCAACCGUGGAGGGUCAUUGGAAACUAGGGGACUUGAGUACAGAAGAGGAAAGCGGAAUUCCAAGUGUAGCGGUGAAAUGCGUAGAGAUUUGGAGGAACACCAGUGGCGAAGGCGGCUUUCUGGUCUGUAACUGACGCUGAGGCGCGAAAGCGUGGGGAGCAAACAGGAUUAGAUACCCUGGUAGUCCACGCCGUAAACGAUGAGUGCUAAGUGUUAGGGGGUUUCCCGCCCCCUUAGUGCUGCAGCUAACGCAUUAAGCACUCCGCCUGGGGAGUACGGCCGCAAGGCUG
rnacentral:rRNA from 1 species